rnacentral:rRNA from 1 species
GAUGAACGCUGGCGGCGUGCCUAAUACAUGCAAGUCGAGCGAACAGAUGAGGAGCUUGCUCCUCUGACGUUAGCGGCGGACGGGUGAGUAACACGUGGAUAACCUACCUAUAAGACUGGGAUAACUUCGGGAAACCGGAGCUAAUACCGGAUAAUAUAUUGAACCGCAUGGUUCAAUAGUGAAAGACGGUUUUGCUGUCACUUAUAGAUGGAUCCGCGCCGCAUUAGCUAGUUGGUAAGGUAACGGCUUACCAAGGCAACGAUGCGUAGCCGACCUGAGAGGGUGAUCGGCCACACCGGAACUGAGACACGGUCCAGACUCCUACGGGAGGCAGCAGUAGGGAAUAUUCCGCAAUGGGCGAAAGCCUGACGGAGCAACGCCGCGUGAGUGAUGAAGGUCUUCGGAUCGUAAAACUCUGUUAUUAGGGAAGAACAACUGUGUAAGUAACUAUGCACGUCUUGACGGUACCUAAUCAGAAAGCCACGGCUAACUACGUG